GCGUUCGUGGUGUAACGGUAGCACAUUCGACUCGUAUUCGACAGGUCCAGGUUCGGGUCCCAGCCAGGGCA
rnacentral:tRNA from 1 species